CAAGCUUCUUGGCCUUUUGGCUAUGAUCAUGUGUAGUAUUUGUUCUUAUCAGUUUAAUAUCUGAUUCGUCCUCGAUUUUUUAUUUUUUAAAAUAUUAUCAGCCAGCCCCU
rnacentral:snRNA from 1 species